UGCUGACUGUUCUGUACGACUGUCACUUACUCCAAAAAAAAUUCAACUUGAAAUAAAACUAACAUGACAGUCUGAACUACCUUGUUGUUUAGAGGCAGAAAUUACCUUUCAACAGUUCCUGUCACUCACAUCCAGGCACACGGAUGUUCACUGAUGGUGAAAAAGUGCUAGAAAAGAUAAAAAAAAGAAGAAAUUCAAUCUUUUAAAACAUGUUUUAAAGGCAGUGAUUAAAGUUAAGACAAUUACAUUAAAUCAACUUCAUUUGUGUUUCCAUUUUCCUCAUAGUUAAAAAAAACAGGAUUUAAGGUAAAGCUGUGUUAAGUGUGCCCUCUGCUGGAGGACAAAGUAAUUAUUUUUAUGCAUGUUUAAUGGGAAUAUUUAAAGGCUGCUUUUCCUCUAAGUCUUGGCUAUUUAUUCACACUGCUUUGUUGAACAAAAAAACAGUAAAAUACUACAGUAUUACUGUCUGUUAGUAGUAAUUAGCCAAAUAUUUCAAACCUUGGUUUAAAAGUGACAGUAAACAUGAGCACAGUAAACAUGUUUGUGGAUCAAAUACUUUAAAGGUACAUGACAUUUGACGUACUUUUCGUUCACUCUUCGAUCAGGGAGUUUUUUUGUUGUUGUUUAAAUGUACAGAUGAAACACUGUAUUGUAUAUAAGUCAAGUUUUUUCUGUGCGAGUAUUUACUGCUGGUCAGAAGAUGAGAAUGUUUGCUGUGAACAAAUACUGAUACUACAGUAAUAUUAUAUUUACAGUACCUGUCCUGUGAAUCCAGAGCUAAGACUUUACUGUAGGUAAAUUAUUCAGGUGAAAACUUCAGUUAUCUUUCAUGGGUACAGGGUUUAAAGUACUGAGUGUGUAUCAGUACUGGACCAGCUGUGUUUUACGUUUUACUCAGAAACUGUGAGGAAAAAAGUGAAUAACUGAAGAAUAAAGGUACUAUAGAACGGAGCAGAAAUGUCAAAGGUCACCGUGUCUGGUUCUAUAGUACAUUCAAAUGUGAUUCACUUUUUACUUUGAAUCAGAACUUUUGUUUAUUUAUGUCAUGAAAGCCUUUGACAGAUUAAAAAUAAAAUCUAUCAGUGAGUCAUGA